UACGGAGGGUGCAAGCGUUAUCCGGAUUCACUGGGUUUAAAGGGUGCGUAGGCGGGCAGGUAAGUCCGUGGUGAAAUCUCUGAGCUUAACUCAGAAACUGCCAUGGAUACUAUUUGUCUUGAAUGUUGUGGAGGUAAGCGGAAUAUGUCAUGUAGCGGUGAAAUGCUUAGAUAUGACAUAGAACACCCAUUGCGAAGGCAGCUUACUACUCAAAUAUUGACGCUGAGGCACGAAAGCGUGGGGAUCAAACAGG
rnacentral:rRNA from 1 species